UCCCUAAAUAGGGACUAGUAUGAACGGCUAAAUGAGGACUUUACUGUCUCUUGCCGCCAGUCAAUGAAACUGAUCUUCCAGUUCAAAAGCUGGAAUAACACCAUAAGACAAAAAGACCCUGUGGAGCUUUUAAACCAAAACCACCAAAAAUUGUCCACUUGGUUUUUAGUUGGGGCGACUUCGGGGUAAAACCAAACCCCCGAAACAAUGGAACCUACCAUAUUAAGGCCAACACGCCAAAAUAAUUUAAAACUUGACCCAGAUCUUUUAAUAUCUGACCAAUGAACCAAGUUACCCCAGGGAUAACAGCGCCAUCUUCUUUUAGAGUCCAUAUCGACAAGAAGGUUUACGACCUCGAUGUUGGAUCAGGACACCCCAAUAGUGCAGCCGCUAUUAACGGUUCG
rnacentral:rRNA from 1 species